rnacentral:rRNA from 1 species
AGUGAACGCUGGCGGUAGGCCUAACACAUGCAAGUCGAACGGCAGCACAGUAAGAGCUUGCUCUUACGGGUGGCGAGUGGCGGACGGGUGAGGAAUACAUCGGAAUCUACUUUUUCGUGGGGGAUAACGUAGGGAAACUUACGCUAGUACCGCAUACGACCUACGGGUGAAAGCAGGGGAUCUUCGGACCUUGCGCGAUUGAAUGAGCCGAUGUCGGAUUAGCUAGUUGGCGGAGUAAAGGCCCACCAAGGCGACGAUCCGUAGCUGGUCUGAGAGGAUGAUCAGCCACACUGGAACUGAGACACGGUCCAGACUCCUACGGGAGGCAGCAGUGGGGAAUAUUGGACAAUGGGCGCAAGCCUGAUCCAGCCAUACCGCGUGGGUGAAGAAGGCCUUCGGGUUGUAAAGCCCUUUUGUUGGGAAAGAAAAGCAGCAGGUUAAUACCCCGCUGUUCUGACGGUACCCAAAGAAUAAGCACCGGCUAACUUCGUG